rnacentral:rRNA from 1 species
AUUGGCAACUAUAGUGCUGUGGUCCCACCUGAUUCCAUCCCGAACUCAGAAGUGAAACGCAGUAACGCCGAUGGUAGUGUGGGGUUUCCCCAUGUGAGAGUAGGGCAUUGCCAAUU